AUAGAGAAGGGGUGAAGAGAGGAGGGAUGAAGGGGUGAAUAGAGAAGGGGUGAAGAGAGGAGGGAUGAAGGGGUGAAUAGAGAAGGGGUGAAGAGAGGAGGGAUGAAGGGGUGAAUAGAGAAGGGAUGAAGGGGUGAAUAGAGGAGGGAUGAGUAGAGGAGGGAUGAAGGGGUGAGUAGAGGAGGGAUGAAGGGGUGAAUAGAGGAGGGUUGAAGGGAGGAGGGAUGAAGGGGUGAGUAGAGGAGGGAUGAGUAGAGGAGGGAUGAAGGGGUGAGUAGAGGAGGGAUGAAGGGAUGAAUAGAGGGGUGAAGUGAUGAACAGAUGAGGGAUGAAGGGGUGAGUAGAGGAGUGAUGAGGGGGUGAGUAGAGGAGGGAUGAAGGGAUGAAUAGAGAAGGGGUGAGUAGAGGAGGGAUGGAGGGGUGAGUAGAGGAGGGGUGAAUGAGUGAAUAGAGAAGGGGUGAAUAGAGGAGGGAUGAAGGGGUGAACAGAGGAGGGAUGAAGGAGUGAAUAGAGGAGGGAUGAAGUGGUGAAUAAAGGAGGGAUAAAGGGAUGAAUAGAGGGGUGAAGUGAUGAACAGAUGAGGGAUGAAGGGGUGAGUAGAGGAGGGAUGAAGGGGUGAGUAGAGGAGGGGUGAAUGAGUGAAUAGAGAAGGGGUGAGUAGAGGAGGGAUGAAGGGGUGAAUAGAGGGAUGAAGGGGUGAAUAGAGGAGGGGUGAAUAGAGGAGGGAUGAAGGGGUGAGUAGAGGAGGGAUGAAGGGGUGAAUAGAGGAGGGAUGAAGGGGUGAGUAGAGGUGGGAUGAAGAGGUGAGUAGAGGAGGGAUGAAGGGGUGAAUAGAGGAGGGAUGAAGGGGUGAAUAGAGGAGGAUUGAAAUGUCACCGUGCCAACAGUAAACUGUUUAAUCUACAGUGUUUUAUGAAUGACAUAUACAUUGCAAUCCCCCGAACCUCUCCCAACCCUCCAACUCAAAACCCACUCACAGUGCAGAGGUAGGCCCAUUCAGGCUUGCAGUGGAGUAGUAUAGACUAUCAAUCAGACCUGGCUAUGUCUCACCAUGGAGAAGACAGGCCAGAGUAGCCUAUGGAUCAGACCUGGCUAUAUCUCACCAUGGAGAAGACAGGCCAGAGUA
rnacentral:lncRNA from 1 species